GUGGGGAAUAUUGGACAAUGGGCGAAAGCCUGAUCCAGCCAUGCCGCGUGUGUGAAGAAGGUCUUCGGAUUGUAAAGCACUUUAAGUUGGGAGGAAGGGCAGUAAGUUAAUACCUUGCUGUUUUGACGUUACCGACAGAAUAAGCACCGGCUAACUUCGUGCCAGCAGCCGCGGUAAUACGAAGGGUGCAAGCGUUAAUCGGAAUUACUGGGCGUAAAGCGCGCGUAGGUGGUUUGGUAAGUUGGAGGUGAAAUCCCCGGGCUCAAACUGGGAACUGCCUCCAUAACUGCAUGACUAGUGUACGGGAGAGGGUAGUGGAAUUUCCUGUGUAGCGGUGAAAUGCGUAUAUAUAGGAAGGAACACCAGUGGCGAAGGCGACUACCUGGACUGAUACUGACACUGACAUGCGAAAGCGUGGGGAGCAAACAGGAUUAGAUACCCGAGUAGUCC
rnacentral:rRNA from 1 species